GAUGAACGCUGGCGGCGUGCUUAACACAUGCAAGUCGAACGAUGAAGCCCAGCUUGCUGGGUGGAUUAGUGGCGAACGGGUGAGUAACACGUGAGUAACCUGCCCUUAACCCUGGGAUAAGCCUGGGAAACUGGGUCUAAUACCGGAUAGGAGCGUCCACCGCAUGGUGGGUGUUGGAAAGAUUUAUCGGUUUUGGAUGGACUCGCGGCCUAUCAGCUUGUUGGUGAGGUAAUGGCUCACCAAGGCGACGACGGGUAGCCGGCCUGGGAGGGUGACCGGCCACACUGGGACUGAGACACGGCCCAGACUCCUACGGGAGGCAGCAGUGGGGAAUAUUGCACAAUGGGCGCAAGCCUGAUGCAGCGACGCCGCGUGAGGGAUGACGGCCUUCGGGUUGUAAACCUCUUUCAGUAGGGAAGAAGCGAAAGUGACGGUACCUGCAGAAGAAGCACCGGCUAACUACGUG
rnacentral:rRNA from 1 species